UACAGGGGGGGCAAGCGUUGUUCGGAAUUACUGGGCGUAAAGCGCACGCAGGUGGCUGAGUCAGUCGAUUGUGAAAGCCCUGGGCUUAACCUGGGAAUUGCAGUCGAUACUACUCAGCUAGAGUAUGGGAGAGGGCAGUGGAAUUCCCGGUGUAGCGGUGAAAUGCGUAGAUAUCGGGAGGAACAUCAGUGGCGAAGGCGGCUGCCUGGCCCAAUACUGACACUCAGGUGCGACAGCGUGGGGAGCAAACAGG
rnacentral:rRNA from 1 species